rnacentral:rRNA from 1 species
UACGUAGGGGGCGAGCGUUGUCCGGAUUUAUUGGGCGUAAAGAGCGUGUAGGCGGCCUGGAAGGUCAGCUGUGAAAACUCGAGGCUCAACCUCGAGACGUCGGUUGAAACCACCUGGCUAGAGUCCGGAAGAGGAGAGUGGAAUUCCCGGUGUAGCGGUGAAAUGCGCAGAUAUCGGGGAAGAACACCCGUGGCGAAGGCGGCUCUCUGGGACGGUACUGACGCUGAGACGCGAAAGCGUGGGGAGCGAACGAGG